CCUACGGGAGGCAGCAGUGAGGAAUAUUGGUCAAUGGCCGGAAGGCUGAACCAGCCAUGCCGCGUGAAGGUCAGUGCCCUAUGGGCGUUAAACUUCUUUUGUGCGGGAGCAAUAAUGGUCACGUGUGGCCAGACGAGAGUACCGUACGAAUAAGCAUCGGCUAACUCCGUGCCAGCAGCCGCGGUAAUACGGGGGAUGCAAGCGUUAUCCGGAUUUAUUGGGUUUAACGGGUGCGUAGGCUGUGAGGUAAGUCAGCGGGGAAAUGCCCCCGCUCAACGGGGUGAAGUGCCAUUGAUACUGCCUUGCUGGAAUGCGGAUGCGGUGGGAGGAAUGUGUGGUGUAGCGGUGAAAUGCAUAGAUAUCACACAGAACACCGAUUGCGAAGGCAUCUCACGAAUCCGCGAUUGACGCUGAUGCACGAAAGCGUGGGUAUCAAACAGGAUUAGAUACCCGAGUAGUC
rnacentral:rRNA from 1 species